GAGUAACACGUGAGUGACCUGCCUUUUAGACUGGAACAACUUACCGAAAGGUGAGCUAAUGCCGGAUGAGUUAUAUAAGUGCAUGUUUAUAUAGGAAAAGUUGGGGAGACCUGACGCUGAAAGAUGGACUCGCGUCCCAUUAGCUAGUUGGUAGGGUAAUGGCCUACCAAGGCGACGAUGGGUAGCCGGCCUGAGAGGGUGGCCGGCCACACUGGGACUGAGACACGGCCCAGACUCCUACGGAAGGCAGCAG
rnacentral:rRNA from 1 species